CUCUGGGUAAACCUAUUUUAAAUCAAUGGCGGAUAAUUCAAAUUGGGUCAUAUUAGGGGUGUAAACUGUUCAUGUAGAUCAAUUUUUUUAUGUUUGCUAUCAUACCAGACAAUUUCCACCAUAUAAACCAACUAACAUGUUAUAUUUAUGUUGGUGUUUGUUGAAUAUGUUUGUUCAAAUGACUGACCUAUGGUUGACAAUAAAAUACCUUAAUGCAAACCUAAAAAAGGGGGGUGGUAGUGACAUAAUUUUUUUUUUUUUUUUUUUUUUUUUUGCACAAAAAAUUAAGAAAUAGAGAGGCACUAAAAUCAAAGAAUUUUGGGAUGGAUACUACAAAUGAUUUUCUUUAAAUACAG
rnacentral:lncRNA from 1 species